rnacentral:rRNA from 1 species
CUACAGGCUUAACACAUGCAAGUCGCAGGGUAACAUGAGGAAAGCUUGCUUUCCUUGAUGACGACUGGCGCACGGGUGAGUAACGCGUAUCCAACCUUCCCAUAACUACGGGAUAACCCGUUGAAAGACGGCCUAAUACCGUAUGAUAUCGUUUGCUGACAUCAAAUAACGAUUAAAGGUUUAGCGGUUAUGGAUGGGGAUGCGUCUGAUUAGCUUGUUGGCGGGGUAACGGCCCACCAAGGCUACGAUCAGUAGGGGUUCUGAGAGGAAGGUCCCCCACAUUGGAACUGAGACACGGUCCAAACUCCUACGGGAGGCAGCAGUGAGGAAUAUUGGUCAAUG